AGGGAGAAACAUUAACCCGCUAUCAGCACGGAUCCGGUUCAAAGGGACGCUCUGGAUAACGGCUGGAUAACACCACUGUUGUCCGGAUAACACCACUGUUAUCAAACGGCAAAGGUCUUUCAGGGCCGAUAUGAUGGGUUCGUAUUGCUUAUUCAGAGUUGGAGAUUCCUGGAAAUGCAAAGAAAGUAAGACACAAAUUACAUCCAACUGAGUACAUGACGUGUUAGGACUGUGUUUUACUAUUUCGUUUGUACGUAAUGUUGAGAAGUAAGUUUGCAUACACUGUAAUCUAAAAGCAGUAUAGCGUUAUUUGUUUAAAUUAAGCUAAUAAUAUUACUGUUUUCCAGCAUGGGAGACAAACACGUAAGCCUGUACAGAGUUAUGUUAGGCCUACCUGAAAGAAAAACCCAAGAACUGCCACGCCUGUGUCGUCUGCCACAGCUUGGUCCAAAGUAUCAUAUUCUUCCUUUAUAUGGACAAUGUGCAUCUGCAAUUGCCGUUAACAUACACUGGUCAAUGCUAAUUCAUAUUACCAUAUGCAGAAGUUAUCUUUAUAGUGCUAUACAUUUUAGAGUGAAUCGACUCUGAUUGAUUUUGGUCACCUCCAUGGGGAACCGUUCUCCAUCAAUAGUAUGCUCGGACCCUGGGCCUCCAUCUUUCCCCCAGUGGAAGUGGAGCUGCAAGGCCUUAUAUGGCCCUGCCAGCUUUCCGCCUUGGAUCUUUACAUUUGAGGGUAGAUCUAGUUGAACUUGGAUCAAAAACAUCAAUACGUACAUAAAGUCGUGGAUUACUAUAUCUUUCAUAGUGAGUUAUCUGCCCUUAUCUAAAUGUUCAUCCGCAUUUCUUUUGAUCAUUUUUUAUGACUUCCAUGGUCAAUGUAUAAUGUUAGAUGACAAUAACGUAUUGUAAUAGAAACUGAGAUUUUCAGUUAAUUCGAUUUUUUUGGGCAAAUAAAAUUAUAUGCAGUAGCAAAACAAGGCUACUAUAUAAGUCAAAAUCUAUAAUAAAGACAUUGUAUAUAAUAUUAAAUAUUUUUUUUCUUCUGCAAUUAAAAUACUUCUAAACACAAACCGGUAUGUCCGUUGUUUAUGAUGCGACCUCUGAACAUUUUCUGAUAGUUGAUGAGUUGUAACGGAACCAGCCUUUCAUCGGGAAGCGUUGUCCUUGUGACAAUAUUCACAGGAGACUGGUUUCUUCCACUGCAAUGCCGAGCGACCAAGGGCCAAUCGUCGGGGCCUGUGGAAGCCAUAGUGUUGACAUUGAUAACGUGCUGCGGUAGGACCUGGCCGGGCUAAGAUCAAAUCAGGGUCGUUGUAUGUCCCAAAUCCUUGAUGUGGGUGUCUGGGUUUGUCCCUGGAUCUGCUCAUCCUACCACUUUAACUAUCUGAUUGGUAGCCCAUGGGGUCCUCUGAUGUAUGUUGUCUUCCACUAGCUCCACUGCACGGAACUAGACUCCCCACUGGAACCCCAGAUUAUUUUCAUGUGUAAAACCAGGAUGGUGGAAUUGGCUUCCUGUCAGCCCCAUAAAUUCUGCACAAUCCCAAACGGUCUUCAGUCAUUUCAUCCAUGUAUAUGAAGGA